UUGUUUUCAGAAUUUCUUAUCAAGUCAUUUUUGCAUACCCAUUGGCUGUUUGUUUGUUUGUUUUCAAAAUUUCUUAUCAAGUCAUCUUUGCAUACCCCUAUUGUUUGUUUGUUUGUUUGUUUGUUUUCAAAAAUUCUUACAGAGUCAUUUUACAUACCCUUUGGCUGUUUGUUUGUUUGUUUUGUUUGUUUGUUUGUUUGUUUGUUUUCAGAAUUUCUUACCAAGUCAUUUUUGCCUACCCUUUGGCUGUUUGUUUGUUUGUUUGUUUUGAGAAUUUGUUAUUAAGUCAUCUUUGCAUACCCCAUUGGCUAUUUGUUUGUUUUCAAAAUUUCUUACCAAGUCAUUUUUGCAUACCCCAUUGGCUAUUUGUUUGUUUGUUUUGUUUGUUUUCAAAAUUUCUUAUCAAGUCAUCUUUGCAUACCCCUAUUGUUUGUUAGUUUGUUUUCAAAAUGUCUUACCAAGUCAUUUUUCUAUACCCUUUGGCUGUUUGUUUGUUUGUUUGUUUGUUUUCAGAAUUUCUUGUUAAGUAAUUUUUGCAUACCCUUUGUUUGUUUGUUUGUUUGUUUGUUUGUUUGUUUGUUUGUUUGUUUGUUUGUUUGUUUUCAAAUUUUCUUACCAAGUCAUUUUUGCAAACCCCAUUGGCUGUUUGUUUGUUUGUUUCACAUUUUUAAAGAGAGUUUUCGACACUAAAAUGGCUUAAUAUUGCUGAAAAAUGAGCAUGCAUGUGUAUAUUUUAGUGGCUAGAUAUUUUUGUUGUUUUGUUUCUCUCUUCAGACGUUUUCUGCAGUUAAUCAGUUACCGGCAUUUGCCAAAGGGAACUUCCAGCUUUUUCAGGGCCGCAACAUGCAGGCAUUUUUGGGCCCCAUCGGUGUGUUCAGAAUGAAAAUAAACCGUGACAGUUGCACAAACCAGCUGCCAUGUGAUUCUUGGGGGGAUUUGUGAUGUGAAGCCAGUGUGUUUGUGAUAUCGGUGAGGUGUCGACCCUCUCAGCCAGGUUCACGGGAGCGUCCGGCGAGUCUCGCUGCUGUGGCCCAGUUUAAUCCUCAAAGAAGCCCUGUCUGGAAAAGCCUUCUCCAAAAGCCCAUGUGCUCCCAAAACUAGGUCUCAUUUACGAGACGUCUCUGAGACGCAGUGUGGCGGCAGCCACGUGCUGCUUCGGCAUCCUGCUCCUCAUUCACUGGAGGCACAUUUGGCUCACACAUGUUCUCCCUGAGGGCUCCACUGGACCUGGUGAAAAUAAAAGUGCCUCCUGUGGUGUGCAGCGCGGAAGACUAAACUUUUAAAAGUUUAUUAAAUCUUGAUCUGGUCAUAAGCAAACCGAGCGGCCUGCCACUAAUCACAGAGUGAUUCCCACCGGCUUCCUUGGUAAACACAGGCUUGUUGAAAUGAAUUAGAAACGUGACCUUCUCAUCAAUGGAAGCGGAAAGCCGUCCGUCUGAAGUCUAACAUUAGAUCUGUGAUGUGGAGUUCAUUACCGAGAGGCUUUAUAGGUGCAUAUUCUCUCUUUUGGAGGAUAAAUCAGGGCUUUAUCAUGUUACUGAAGUCCUGGGAUCACAUGCUGUUUUGGAGCGCAGCUACAUGUGCUAUCUAUGAAAGAUUUCCUCCAAGAUCCCCUGAACAUUACAGAAGAUUGCGCUCUUUUUUGAUGUUAAAAUACUUGUAUUCAUAGGCUGAUUUGCUCUCAAAACAUUGAUCUGUUUGCGUUUGAGCAUCAGUGACAGAAAGUGUUCGGCAAAGAAGUUGUUAUGAGUUUCAAUUUAUGUUAAUGUUUUCGACUUUUAGUUGCAACAAAAAUGUCCAACAGCAUGCUGCUUUCCAGGUCUCACCAUGACAAAGUCAAUGUAAAAGGAAUAAUUGGUCUCAAUUUGUUCCAGUUUCCACUUUGCCUUUGAGCGCUGGAUAUGAGUGUUCCUGUUUUACAGCCUUAAAUAAUAAACCUCCAUG